rnacentral:tRNA from 1 species
GGUUUGUGGCUCAGUGGUAGAGUGCUUGCCCAGCACACAUGAGGCACUGGGUUCAAUCCUCAGUACCA